UAAAAUAAACGAGCUUGAUCGACGCGAUAGUACGUCGAUGUUUCGAAAAGUUUAGCGAUCCGUUGUCGCGAACGAAGCCUCUCUGCGGGCACUAUGCCCACUGCCCGGACAAAGGUAUUUCAAGCACCGUCUCUCGAUUGCACGCCCCUUUAUUCCUGGGUUAACACGUCUCUAAAUCGACCCGACGCGACGCGCGAUCCUCGCCAAACGAAAGCUUAUCGGUAUUGGCCAACCGCGAACACCAAUUUAUAACAUUCGUUGAUUACGUUUUCACUCGCCGUAUUAUUACUCGGCCAACAAUUGCAAUUCUACCGAUUGAAAAAUUCGAUUUUUUAUAUUGCAUUCUAUCAUUUAGCUGCAGACAAUCGACUAUGGGCUCCUCUUUCUACCUAUCUGUCUAUUGUAUACCGGUGAAAUCUACCUUUUAAUCUACUUUUUAAAUCUACUUUUUAAGUUGCCACGAAUUCACGAAUUAAAUAAAACGAAAACUAUUCUAUUCUCUUUCAAACAUUUUCGCGCGUUCCGUACAUUUCUACAUACACACGCGCAUAUCUACCACAUUUUUAAUUCUAGCUGUACCUAUUUACACGCGUAGUGACGUACCGCUCCGAUUUACGCGAAACGCGAACCGUAAACGCCCCCAUGCGGUCGCCGCCCGAACAACGUCCUCGUCAGUUCUCCUAUCGAUUAGUCGCGUGUUGCGUGUUCGAUUUGCGCAGUUUUGAGGUUAGAACGUUCGCGUUUAAACGCCUUGUCGCGAUUGUUUGGCUGGCUCGUUUAUUCAGUUUGGUCAAUGCUCUGUUCGAUAAAAUACUUUAAUGAUCAAAUUGCUUAUCAUCGACGUCAAAUAUCGUAGUGUUAUCUGGAUGUAGAAUCGCAGAAAUCGUAUCUUAAAUAAAUCGUACGACGAAAAGAAAAUAAAGAAACCAGGAAAACUGUUCAAUCAUCGAAGAUGCAGGAGACGAAGAAACGAUCGCGAUGAUCGUUGUGCAAAGACAGAAAUUGGACAGUACCAGACAUGCAUAACGCUUCCUCUAUCUCGGUAGUACACACGAAAAAGUGACUGGACAAUAAUGAACCAUGCUAACACCGGAAUGAAGAUUUAUUCGAACGACCUAUCGAUCCUGCGACAUAGAAAAUUUCACUCGGCCGAUAAACUUUACUCGAACGAAAUGGUAGGAUUGGACAGUCAAGAAUUACUCCGAACAAAUAUUUCCAAUGCUACCAUGGAAUUGGAAAUGAAAUCCGACGAUGAAACGGAAAGCGACGGGGAACCGCAUACGCGACGACUUAUACCGUCACCGAUCGAUCAUCGGUGCGUUAACGACGAUGACGACGGUAACGACGACGACGACGACGACGACAACGAUAACGAUGAUGACGGCCACCACAAUAACGACAAACAGUCGAUCGUUAUUCAAACUUGUCAAUCGAAUCGAACGGAGGAAGAUAAUCUUUGGUCCACUUCGAUGCAAAUGUUCGUGCCUUUUUUAUUGGCCGGUUUUGGUAUGGUAGCUGCCAGUUUGUUACUGGACGUUGUACAGCAUUGGCCCGUUUAUCAAAUGGUAUCGGAAGUAUAUAUAUUGGUGCCAGCGUUGCUCGGUUUAAAAGGAAAUUUGGAGAUGACGUUGGCCUCCCGAUUUUCGACUCAUGCCAAUCUCGGCUACACGGAUACCAGAAAGCAACGGUGGACCCUGAUAAUUGGAAACGUUACGUUGAUCCAAUGUCAAGCAACGGUAGUAGGUCUAUUAGCUUCUAUAGCAGCAGUCGUACUCGGUUGGAUUCCGGAAGCUCAGUUCGAUAUUCACCAUGCUCUUUUACUAUGCGCCAGUGCCUUAUCUACCGCGUCCAUAGCCAGUUUUAUAUUGAGUUUGGUGAUGAUCGCUGUUAUACUUCUAUCCAAAGAGAUGAACAUCGAUCCGGAUAAUAUAGCUACGCCGAUCGCAGCCUCUCUCGGUGAUUUAACUACUCUGGCCCUUCUUUCAGGAAUCGCGUCUGUUUUGUAUAAAACGAUGGAAUACGCGGCAUGGAUAGCUCCCACCUUGAUCGCGGUCCAUAUCGUGGUUACUCCCGUUUGGGGCUACGUAGCGGCAAAAAAUCCAUUUACCAGGGAAAUAUUAGACUAUGGCUGGGUACCGGUGAUAUGCGCGAUGCUAAUCAGCAGCGUAGGAGGUUUAAUACUGGACUACACAAUAUCCAGUUACAAAGGUAUAGCUGUAUUUCAGCUGGUAAUAAAUGGCGUCGGUGGUAAUUUGGUCGCUGUUCAGGCCAGUAGAAUAUCAACGUCUUUACACAAAGAUCGUCGAUACGGUAUUUGUAGAACCACCGUUCGUUUCAAUCCGUGGCACGUGUUCUGUAGCAAAGGUGGACACGCGAGAACCGCCCGAGUUCUCUUGGCGAUGGUGAUACCUGGUCAUCUGAUAUUUGGUUACACCAUCAGUUAUCUUCAAGCUGGACACACGUCUUUCACGCCUAUAUUCAUCGUAGUCUACUUGACCGCGGCUUUGUUACAGGUAAUUUUAUUGUUAUACAUCGCCCAACUGAUGGUCGCGUGGAUGUGGUCGAAAGGAAUGGAUCCAGACAGUUCCGCGAUACCGUACCUAACGGCCGCCGGUGAUUUAAUUGGAACGGCAUUACUAGGAAUCGCUUUUCAUCUGCUAUACGCCAUCGGUGACAAAGAUUCGGACGUAGGAGACUGACCGUUCCGGACCUUUAUGUUCGUUUACGUUUCGAUCUUGCGCAGAACGUUCGCUCCAUACGGAAAAGAACAUCUGUCUCUUUUACUGAUCCCCCUUACUCUCCUGUUAUUCUUGCCGCUUUUUCAUCGCGCAUUCGUUCACCGUUCCACGUCAUGUUACGAUCGCGCGUAAAUCUAGUAGCGAGAUAGCAGGUUUUAUCUCGCGUGGCACGUCGCGUCGUGUCGAUCGCAGAACAGGGG
rnacentral:misc_RNA from 1 species